AUUGCACGCUGGCGGCAGGCUUAACACAUGCAAGUCGAACGAGUGGCGGACGGGUGAGUAAUGCAUGGGAAUAUGGCUUUUGGAGGGGGAUCACUACGGGAAACGAUAGCUAAUACCGCGUACCAUAGGAUGAGCCCAUAUGGGAUUAGGUAGUGGGUGGGGUAAAGGCUCACCAAGCCGACGAUCUUUAGCUGGUCUGAGAGGAUGACAAGACAAACUGGGACUGAGACAGGGCCCAGACUCCUACGGGAGGCAGCAGUGGGGAAUAUUGCACAAGGGGGGCAACCCUGAUGCAGCCAUGCCGAGUGUGUGAAGAAGGCCUUCGGGUUGUAAAGCUCUUUCAGCGGGGAGGCGUUAAUUCCAGAAGAAGCACCGGCUAACUCCGUGCUAGCAGCCGCGGUAAUAC
rnacentral:rRNA from 1 species